rnacentral:rRNA from 1 species
UCUUUUAAAGAAAGCGUAAUAGCUCACUAGUCGAGUCGGCCUGCGCGGAAGAUUUAACGGGGCUAAACUGAUAACCGAAGCUGCGGACGCAUACUUGUAUGCGUGGUAGAGGAGCGUUCUGUAAGCCGUUGAAGGUGCAUUGUAAAGUGUGCUGGAGGUAUCAGAAGUGCGAAUGCUGACGUGAGUAACGAUAAAGCGGGUGAAAAACCCGCUCGCCGGAAGAUCAAGGUUUCCUGUCCAACGCUAAUCGGGACAGGGUUAGUCGGUACCUAAGGCGAGGCCGAAAGGCGUAGUCGAUGGAAAACAGGUUAAUAUUCCUGUACCGCUAUAUACUGCGAUGGGGGGACGGAGAAGGCUAGGUGAUCAGGGCGAUGGUUGUCCCUGUACAAGCUUGUAGGGAGAUCUCUUAGGUAAAUCCGGGAGAUCAUUAUCCUGAGGAGUGAUGUCGAGCUCAAUUGCGAGCGAAGUCAUUGAUGCCAUGCUUCCAAGAAAAGCCUCUAAGCUUCAGGUAUAUAGAGACCGUACUCCAAACCGACACAGGUGAUCAGGUAGAGAAUACCAAGGCGCUUGAGAGAACUAUGGUGAAGGAACUAGGCAAAAUGGUGCCGUAACUUCGGGAGAAGGCACGCCGAUUUUGGUGAUGGGAUUUACUCCCUAAGCUGAGGUUGGCCGCAGAGACCAGGCCCCUGCGACUGUUUAUCUAAAACACAGCACUCUGCAAACUCGUAAGAGGAAGUAUAGGGUGUGACGCCUGCCCGGUGCCGGAAGGUUAAUUGAUGGGGUUAGCUUCGGCGAAGCUCUUGAUCGAAGCCCCGGUAAACGGCGGCCGUAACUAUAACGGUCCUAAGGUAGCGAAAUUCCUUGUCGGGUAAGUUCCGACCUGCACGAAUGGCGUAACGACGGGGGCGCUGUCUCCACCAUAGACUCAGUGAAAUCGAAAUCGCGGUGAAGAUGCCGUGUUCCCGCGGCUAGACGGAAAGACCCCGUGAACCUUUACUAUAGCUUGGCACUGAACUUUGAAUCUAUCUGUGUAGGAUAGGUGGGAGGCUUUGAAGCGUUAUCGCUAGAUAGCGUGGAGCCACCCUUGAAAUACCACCCUGGUAUAUUUGAGGUUCUAACUCUGACCCAUUAUCUGGGUCGAGGACAGUGUCUGGUGGGUAGUUUGACUGGGGCGGUCUCCUCCCAAAGAGUAACGGAGGAGCGCGAAGGUACACUCAGCAUGGUCGGAAAUCAUGCUAUGAGCGCAAAGGUAGAAGUGUGCUUGACUGCGAGACUGACACGUCGAGCAGGUACGAAAGUAGGUCUUAGUGAUCCGGUGGUUCUGUAUGGAAGGGCCAUCGCUCAACGGAUAAAAGGUACUCCGGGGAUAACAGGCUGAUACCGCCCAAGAGUUCAUAUCGACGGCGGUGUUUGGCACCUCGAUGUCGGCUCAUCACAUCCUGGGGCUGGAGCAGGUCCCAAGGGUAUGGCUGUUCGCCAUUUAAAGUGGUACGCGAGCUGGGUUUAGAACGUCGUGAGACAGUUCGGUCCCUAUCUGCCGUGGGCGUUGGAAAUUUGAGAGGAGCUGCUCCUAGUACGAGAGGACCGGAGUGGACGAACCCCUGGUGUUUGGGUUGUCAUGCCAAUGGCAUUGCCCAGUAGCUACGUUCGGACGGGAUAACCGCUGAAAGCAUCUAAGCGGGAAGCCUCUUCCAAGAUUAAUUUU